AAUACAAUAUAUUAUUGUUAUGGCGCCACGUGUUCUGCUUCAAAUACUGGUUAUCUACGGAAUUCUACACGGUCAUUCGAUUACUGCUUCAGCGCAAACAGACA